UUUUAGCCCUGAUAGUAGCGGCAUCCUUUACCUUCUUUCUUUAAGAAGGUAAAGAUACAGCGGAUAGCAGGAUAAGCU
rnacentral:sRNA from 1 species